UACGUAGGGGGCAAGCGUUGUUCGGAAUUACUGGGCGUAAAGGGCGCGUAGGCGGCACAGCACGUCGGGAGUGAAAGCCCGGGGCUCAACCCCGGAAUGGCUUUCGAAACUGCUGAGCUAGAGUACAGAAGGGGCAACCGGAAUUCCCAGUGUAGCGGUGAAAUGCGUAGAUAUUGGGAAGAACACCUGAGGCGAAGGCGGGUUGCUGGGCUGAUACUGACGCUGAGGCGCGAAAGCCAGGGGAGCAAACGGG
rnacentral:rRNA from 1 species